rnacentral:rRNA from 1 species
GAUGAACGCUGGCGGCGUGCCUAAUACAUGCAAGUCGAGCGAACAGACGAGGAGCUUGCUCCUCUGACGUUAGCGGCGGACGGGUGAGUAACACGUGGAUAACCUACCUAUAAGACUGGGAUAACUUCGGGAAACCGGAGCUAAUACCGGAUAAUAUAUUGAACCGCAUGGUUCAAUAGUGAAAGACGGUUUUGCUGUCACUUAUAGAUGGAUCCGCGCCGCAUUAGCUAGUUGGUAAGGUAACGGCUUACCAAGGCGACGAUGCGUAUCCGACCUGAGAGGGUGACCGGCCACACUGGAACUGAGACACGGUCCAGACUCCUACGGGAGGCAGCGGUAGGGAAUCUUCGGCAAUGGGCGAAAGCCUGACGGAGCAACGCCGCGUGAGUGAUGAAGGUCUUCGGAUCUUAAAACUCUGUUAUUAGGGAAGAACAAAUGUGGAAGUAACUAUGCACGUCUUGACGGUACCUAAUCAGAAAGCGACGGCUAACUACGUG